rnacentral:rRNA from 1 species
ACGUAGGGCGCGAGCGUUGUCCGGAAUUAUUGGGCGUAAAGAGCUUGUAGGCGGUUUGUCGCGUCUGCUGUGAAAGGCCGGGGCUUAACCCCGUGUAUUGCAGUGGGUACGGGCAGACUAGAGUGCAGUAGGGGAGACUGGAAUUCCUGGUGUAGCGGUGGAAUGCGCAGAUAUCAGGAGGAACACCGAUGGCGAAGGCAGGUCUCUGGGCUGUAACUGACGCUGAGAAGCGAAAGCAUGGGGAGCGAACAGGAUUAGAUACCCUUGU